AGGACACGCUGGCGGCGUGCCUAACACAUGCAAGUCGAGCGGAGAUACAUUGAAGAGCAAUCAGAUAUGUAUCUUAGCGGCGGACGGGUGAGUAACGCGUGGGCAACCUGCCUCAUACUGGGGGAUAACACAGGGAAACUUGUGCUAAUACCGCAUAAUAUCAUUAUAGGGCAUCCUGUGAUGAUCAAAGGAGCAAUCCGGUGUGAGAUGGGCCCGCGUCCAAUUAGCUAGUUGGUGGGGUAACGGCCCACCAAGGCGACGAUUGGUAGCCGAACUGAGAGGUUGAUCGGCCACAUUGGGACUGAGACACGGCCCAGACUCCUACGGGAGGCAGCAGUGGGGAAUAUUGCGCAAUGGGGGAAACCCUGACGCAGCAACGCCGCGUGAAGGAUGAAGGUCUUCGGAUUGUAAACUUCUUUGAUGAGGGACGAACACAAUGACGGUACCUCAAAAACAAGCCACGGCUAACUACGUG
rnacentral:rRNA from 1 species